AACAAGGUUUCCGUAGGUGAAACUGCAGAAGGAUCAUUGU
rnacentral:rRNA from 1 species